CCCCUUUUGCGCUGGCGGCGCCGGAUCCAUUUUAACCCACAAAGUAACGAAACGGGACCGCGUAUUUCGCUGCGGAUUGCAGGCCUCCCGCCCUCUUCGGAGAGUCGGAAGUUGGAAGCGCUGAAACAGUGAAGAGCGGACCCACCUGCAGAAAGCGCAGGUUACUACGGGUCCGGUGUCGCCAGGGCGAAAGGGGC
rnacentral:other from 1 species